AUUCCAGCUCCAAUAGCGUAUAUUAAAGUUGUUGCAGUUAAAAAGCUCGUAGUUGAACUUUGGGCCUGGGCGGGCGGUCUACCUAUGGUAAGUACUGUUGCGGCCGGGUCUUUUCCUUCUGGCUAACUCUUCGGAGUGAACCAGGACGAUUACUUUGAGGAAAUUAGAGUGUUCAAAGCAGGCCUUUGCUCGGAUAUAUUAGCAUGGAAUAAUAGAAUAGGACGUUAUGGUUCUAUUUUGUUGGUUUCUAGGACCAUCGUAAUGAUUAAUAGGGACGGUCGGGGGCAUCAGUAUUCAGUUGUCAGAGGUGAAAUUCUUGGAUUAACUGAAGACGAACCACUGCGAAAGCAUUUGCCAGGGAUGUUUUCAUUA
rnacentral:rRNA from 1 species